rnacentral:lncRNA from 1 species
UUUUAUUGUUAACUAAAUCUAAAAGUUGUUUUCUACAAUUAAAAUAAAGCUAGAAAAUAAAUAAAUAAAUAAAUAUUAACAAUUAAAAAAAAAAAUUUAAAUUCGAACUUACUAAAACUUUAAAAACUAGAAAUGUUGCUUUGGAGUGCUCUUUAAAAUAAUCUUUGUUUUGUUUACAACUUCCAAAAAUAUUUUUUACAGUGUACCAGUGUUUUUAUUGUUAACUAAAUCUAAAAGUUGUUUUCUACAAUUAAAAUAAAGCUGAAAAUAAAUAAAUAAAUAAAUAUUACAUUAAAAAAAAAAUUUAAAUUCGAACUUACUAAACUUUAAAAACUAGAAAUGUUGCUUUGGCAACUAAAAAUAAGUUUAAGUCAUAGUACUAAAAUUAACUUAACUUAAACAUUUUUUUAAAAAAAAUACAGCUAUGAAAAAAAACUAAUAAUAAAAAUGACAAAAGCACACAACAAAACUGCUAAAACUAAAAGGAAAACGAAAAAAAUAUAAAAAUAUAAAACCUAAUACCAAAUAUUAUGUUUACAAAUAAUACUAGAAUAAGAAUGCACUGGUCUUUUGGACAUAAAUGCUUUAAACAAAUCAGUAAUCAUCAUUGUGGGCUCUUACUGUAAUUUUGCCCAGGUCAAUGCCAUAGUUGAGAGAGUUCCAAGCACACUGCUUGAAGUUGGGUUUCCACGGCUCUUCAAACCUCUCCGUCACACACUCACCCUUCUCUCCUUUUGCACCAUCCCGGCCCGGUAGACCGGGAAUACCUGGAAUUCCGUUCACUCCUGGAUUUCCGUCCCUUCCCGUAGUGCCUGCUGGACCCUGGUGGCAGCUGGAAUACUAAAAACAUACAGGAUUCAACAGGAGCUUUUUGGCUUGAUAUUAAACAGCAUAUAUUUUUUAGCUUGAAAUGCCUGUAAUAAGUAUUAACAAUCUCAUCUAACACUAGUCAGCGUAAUGCAUCUGGAAUGAGCUCUUAUGGUGUGGUCUUUAGUUACUGAUGAAAAUACCAUGCUAUGGCUUACACUUAAUAUUUUUGCACAGUGUUGCUGAUGGGCAUGGAGAAGUAGCCUAUACUGGGACACUG